GCGGCGAUUGGGUGUUUGACGUCAUACUGAGCAGAGUUGGGUUUUCCGAAGCUGAGAAGGUGGUACAACAGUGAAACUCAGUGCCACACGGAGUAGUACUCUGAAUACCACGUGGCCUCAGGAUGCGGUAGGACCUCUGGCUGCUGAACAGGGAACUAGGAGUUGCUACUUUGUGGACGAAAGCAAGCAUCGAAGUAGCCAGGAGCAGUGUACGGGAUAUUCAGAGCCGUAGAGCAGCUCACAUUUGUGUCUGGCCCAGGAUCAGCGGCUAUCGGGGGAGACAUUUAUUAAGGCUUAUCUUGAGGGCCAAUUGCUUCCUUUUUAGGAAAUGUCUACCUUUGCUCUGAAAAUUUCAGCUGAUUGGAUAAGGCUUCCUCUCAUUGUGUGGAGUAACUGGGGUGAAGACAAGAGAUGGAAAGAACAUAAAUGAGUUGGGAAUGCAAAGGAGAGCAAAAUACGGCCAGUAAGCAUUUCAGAAGACACCAGUUCUCACAGACCUCUCAUAGUACAUAAAAUGUAGAAGAAAGAUGUGAGAAGCAAAAAAGGAAAAAAAAAAGAUGGUGUAAACUAUAUUCUGAUGCAAAUUUUGUGCUAAGGAAUUGUGAACAAACAACAUGCAAACACAUGAAAACAAACAGUGGUACUCAUCUGAGAGUUUGCUUUGGAGACGGGUCCUCACAAUGUAGCCCCUCCUGGCCUUGAACUUACAGAAAUCCACCUGCCUCUGCUGCAGUUCAGCUCAUGCACCAGCGCAUCCAGCUCACCUCAGGGUUUUGGAUAACUCUUCUUUUGAAAUGCAUUUCAAGUUUUAAGAAGAAAGAAGAUUUUUUGCAAUCAGGAAUUAGCCAUGCAAGUGAACAUAUAAAUUUUUAAAAUGUGAUUCAUUCCUAGGGAGGUUUUUGUACCCCAACAGGAUUAAUGUGCAAGGACAUUUUGAUGAGCUGUUUGGAUAAAGCCUUAUCCGGGAGAACUCUUUCUCAAGCACUGAAUCCUUCCCCGAAACACGCAAAGAACAUCAAGAACACAGAGGAGUGAUAUCUUCGACACGUCAGAAUUCCAGCAGUCAGCCCCAUCAUAUUUCUGGGAGCUCUGCAAUUCAUCCAGCAAACUUCCAGGAAACCCCGGCAUCAUAUCAAACACAGAGGGAAGUCCUGGAAAUGCAGAAAAGGCCAGAACACAAGUGAAGCGCAAUCUGGUAAUUUUGGCACCUUGGUGCUCCGGUAAGGAGCCUGAAGGGGAACACCUGUAUGCAUGUACGCAUGGGCUCUGUUCACUCACUUAUAAGAAAUGUGUUGGCCGCUGAUUUAGUGAGAAGGAAUGUCGUGGGGAAAGGCGCAGAAAUAAUUUAUAGUUUAUUUUUUCCCACCUCUGGGAAAUCAUGUUUGGAAGGGACAAACUUCACCCACAGAGGCACAGUAGUGCUACACAGUAAUGAUAUUCCAAACAGUAGUUAGCAAGAGUGAAGAAAGUUGUGCUAAUUGGACUAUUCCUUGAACUCUC